rnacentral:tRNA from 1 species
GCCUUCGUGGUGUAAUGGUCAGCACACUGAGCCGGUAUUUCAGAGGUCCGUGGUUCGAUUCCUGGAGAAGGAA